rnacentral:rRNA from 1 species
GCUUUAUUCGACCCGUCUUGUAACACGGACCAAGGAGUCCAGCAUGUACGCAAGUGCUUAGGUGGUAAACCUUAGCGCGUAGCGAAAGCAUAGGAAUAAUGAAUUAUUUGACUUUUUUUUCUUCUUUCUUAGGAAAAAGAAAAAAUUUGUUUUUUUAAUUGUCAUUUUUCUAAUGUGGGAGCUUUUUCCUUUUGGAUGCGCACCACGAUCCAACUUUCAAAGCUUAGGCAGGAACAGUUUGAGACCGAGCGUAUAUGAUGGGACCCGAAAGAUGGUGAACUA